rnacentral:rRNA from 2 species
UUAAAUUGAAGAGUUUGAUCAUGGCUCAGAUUGAACGCUGGCGGCAGGCCUAACACAUGCAAGUCGAACGGUAACAGGAAGCAGCUUGCUGCUUUGCUGACGAGUGGCGGACGGGUGAGUAAUGUCUGGGAAACUGCCUGAUGGAGGGGGAUAACUACUGGAAACGGUGGCUAAUACCGCAUAACGUCGCAAGACCAAAGAGGGGGACCUUCGGGCCUCUUGCCAUCAGAUGUGCCCAGAUGGG